rnacentral:pre_miRNA from 1 species
AUAAUACUCCCUCCGUUUGGAAUUACUUGUCAUCAAAAUGGAUGAAAAUGGAUGUAUCUAGAACUAAAAUAUAUCUAGAUACAUCCAUUUUAAUGACAAGUAUUUCCUGACGGAGGGAGUAAUUA